CCUCGCAUGGGCUCCCACCUUGUCGUGGUGGUGGGGCUGAGGUCGCGAGCAAACUCACCCGCUCAGGGAUGACGCCGCUCGCGACUGACUAAGACGGAAC
rnacentral:ribozyme from 1 species